rnacentral:antisense_RNA from 1 species
CUUCACCGACCCCAGCCACAGCGGCCGCCCCUCCGGACGCUCCUGGCCGUAGGUGGCCAGCAGCGCCUGGGCCUC